AAAGAAAGCGUAAUAGCUCACUGGUCGAGUCGGCCUGCGCGGAAGAUGUAACGGGGCUAAACCAUGCACCGAAGCUGCGGCAGCGACGCUGAUGCGUUGUUGGGUAGGGGAGCGUUCUGUAAGCCUGCGAAGGUGUGCUGUGAGGCAUGCUGGAGGUAUCAGAAGUGCGAAUGCUGACAUAAGUAACGAUAAAGCGGGUGAAAAGCCCGCUCGCCGGAAGACCAAGGGUUCCUGUCCAACGUUAAUCGGGGCAGGGUGAGUCGACCCCUAAGGCGAGGCCGAAAGGCGUAGUCGAUGGGAAACAGGUUAAUAUUCCUGUACUUGGUGUUACUGCGAAGGGGGGACGGAGAAGGCUAUGUUGGCCGGGCGACGGUUGUCCCGGUUUAAGCGUGUAGGCUGGUUUUCCAGGCAAAUCCGGAAAAUCAAGGCUGAGGCGUGAUGACGAGGCACUGCGGUGCUGAAGCAACAAAUGCCCUGCUUCCAGGAAAAGCCUCUAAGCAUCAGGUAACAUCAAAUCGUACCCCAAACCGACACAGGUGGUCAGGUAGAGAAUACCAAGGCGCUUGAGAGAACUCGGGUGAAGGAACUAGGCAAAAUGGUGCCGUAACUUCGGGAGAAGGCACGCUGAUAUGUAGGUGAAGUCCCUCGCGGAUGGAGCUGAAAUCAGUCGAAGAUACCAGCUGGCUGCAACUGUUUAUUAAAAACACAGCACUGUGCAAACACGAAAGUGGACGUAUACGGUGUGACGCCUGCCCGGUGCCGGAAGGUUAAUUGAUGGGGUUAGCGCAAGCGAAGCUCUUGAUCGAAGCCCCGGUAAACGGCGGCCGUAACUAUAACGGUCCUAAGGUAGCGAAAUUCCUUGUCGGGUAAGUUCCGACCUGCACGAAUGGCGUAAUGAUGGCCAGGCUGUCUCCACCCGAGACUCAGUGAAAUUGAACUCGCUGUGAAGAUGCAGUGUACCCGCGGCAAGACGGAAAGACCCCGUGAACCUUUACUAUAGCUUGACACUGAACAUUGAGCCUUGAUGUGUAGGAUAGGUGGGAGGCUUUGAAGUGUGGACGCCAGUCUGCAUGGAGCCGACCUUGAAAUACCACCCUUUAAUGUUUGAUGUUCUAACGUUGACCCGUAAUCCGGGUUGCGGACAGUGUCUGGUGGGUAGUUUGACUGGGGCGGUCUCCUCCUAAAGAGUAACGGAGGAGCACGAAGGUUGGCUAAUCCUGGUCGGACAUCAGGAGGUUAGUGCAAUGGCAUAAGCCAGCUUGACUGCGAGCGUGACGGCGCGAGCAGGUGCGAAAGCAGGUCAUAGUGAUCCGGUGGUUCUGAAUGGAAGGGCCAUCGCUCAACGGAUAAAAGGUACUCCGGGGAUAACAGGCUGAUACCGCCCAAGAGUUCAUAUCGACGGCGGUGUUUGGCACCUCGAUGUCGGCUCAUCACAUCCUGGGGCUGAAGUAGGUCCCAAGGGUAUGGCUGUUCGCCAUUUAAAGUGGUACGCGAGCUGGGUUUAGAACGUCGUGAGACAGUUCGGUCCCUAUCUGCCGUGGGCGCUGGAGAACUGAGGGGGGCUGCUCCUAGUACGAGAGGACCGGAGUGGACGCAUCACUGGUGUUCGGGUUGUCAUGCCAAUGGCACUGCCCGGUAGCUAAAUGCGGAAGAGAUAAGUGCUGAAAGCAUCUAAGCACGAAACUUGCC
rnacentral:rRNA from 1 species